rnacentral:rRNA from 1 species
UACGAAGGGGGCUAGCGUUGCUCGGAAUCACUGGGCGUAAAGCGCACGUAGGCGGAUUUCUAAGUCAGGGGUGAAAUCCUGGAGCUCAACUCCAGAACUGCCUUUGAUACUGGGAAUCUCGAGUGCCGGAGGGGAGAGUGGAAUUCCUGGUGUAGCGGUGAAAUGCGCAGAUAUCGGGAGGAACACCAAUGGCGAAGGCGGCUCACUGGUCCGGUACUGACGCUGAGGUGCGAAAGCGUGGGGAGCAAACAGGG